rnacentral:rRNA from 1 species
UACGGGGGGGGCAAGCGUUGUUCGGAAUUACUGGGUGUAAAGGGCUCGUAGGCGGCCAACUAAGUCAGACGUGAAAUCCCUCGGCUUAACCGGGGAACUGCGUCUGAUACUGGAUGGCUAGAGGUUGGGAGAGGGAUGCGGAAUUCCAGGUGUAGCGGUGAAAUGCGUAGAUAUCUGGAGGAACACCGGUGGCGAAGGCGGCAUCCUGGACCAAUUCUGACGCUGAUGAGCGAAAGCCAGGGGAGCAAACGGG